GAGUAAUAUAUCGGAACGUACCCUGGAGUGGGGGAUAACGUAGCGAAAGUUACGCUAAUACCGCAUACGAUCUAAGGAUGAAAGUGGGGGAUCGCAAGACCUCAUGCUCCUGGAGCGGCCGAUAUCUGAUUAGCUAGUUGGUAGGGUAAAAGCCUACCAAGGCAUCGAUCAGUAGCUGGUCUGAGAGGACGACCAGCCACACUGGAACUGAGACACGGUCCAGACUCCUACGGGAGGCAGCAGUGGGGAAUUUUGGACAAUGGGCGCAAGCCUGAUCCAGCAAUGCCGCGUGAGUGAAGAAGGCCUUCGGGUUGUAAAGCUCUUUUGUCAGGGAAGAAACGGGUCUUUCUAAUACAGGGGCCUAAUGACGGUACCUGAAGAAUAAGCACCGGCUAACUACGUGCCAGCAGCCGCGGUAAUACGUAGGGUGCAAGCGUUAAUCGGAAUUACUGGGCGUAAAGCGU
rnacentral:rRNA from 1 species